rnacentral:rRNA from 1 species
UACGGGGGGAGCAAGCGUUGUUCGGAUUUACUGGGCGUAAAGGGCGCGUAGGCGGCCACCGCAAGUCGACUGUGAAAUCUCCGGGCUUAACCCGGAAAGGUCAGCCGAUACUGCGGGGCUAGAGUGCAGAAGGGGCAACUGGAAUUCUCGGUGUAGCGGUGGAAAUGCGUAGAUAUCGAGAGGAACACCUGCGGCGAAGGCGGGUUGCUGGGCUGACACGUGACGCUGAGGCGCGAAAGCUAGGGGAGCGAACGGG